ACAUACAGGUGCCUCUGUGACUGUGUUUUUAACAGUCCACAGGGAGCUGGCGUGCCCCAAAGGAUUUCGUACCAAGUUCCCUUCUCGUCUGUGAUUGCUGCGUAUCGUCAGCUGGAGACGUUGUUGACCAGAAGUGAAGCUCUUUACAGAAGCAGCAGGAGUUGCUUCUCAGAAUCCCCCUUCCUACGGAACGAAGCCCUUCAGCCUGAGCAAUGCAGUCACAGGUCGCGGAUUCUUCAACUCGGGCUGAUUCACAGCAUCUCUGUUGUCACUCAAGGGCAACCCGCAGCUUUCAAGGAUGGCCUUGGCCGUAUCACGGUGCAGGCCUGCAGCACCCGCAGUGGUGCGUGCCCCGCUGCCGCAGGGCACACGAGCAGGGGAUCUUUCCUGCACGCACUGGAAGGAAGGGUGCACCUCGCUCCUCACUCUGCGCUCACCCCUGCACUUCUCCAGUCCAGCCCCGCUGCAAUGUUUGCUGUAUGUGUAGGUGUCUUCACAAACCCACUCGACAGCUCAUUCCCUUUCCCAUAUGCCAUUCUUCCACAUUGCUGGCUCAUGCACAUGUUUUCCAGUUACAUUAGUGGCUUCCUUUAAAAUUCCAUUUCUAAGACGACACUUAGGUCUUCUGACUUAUGCCACUGCUGUGCAUUUUGUAGUUUCCCCUCUACAUUUCUUUCUUUCUUCUUGUCCUUGUUUCUCACACAGAAUCCUCCCUUCUGGGCCCGUGGUGACUCUUACUGCUGGUGACACUGCUGCCCCGCAGCAGGGCUGUGUCAACCAGUACCACUGCCUGGCUGCAGCUCAGCCAGGCAAGGUUACUGCGAUCUUUUGCCUGCAGGAGGAUUAAACCACUCAAGGAAAAAACGUCUCCUCAGCACAUCUGGAUGUGGAAAUUUACUGCCAUUGAAAUUACUAUUAUGGUCAAAUAAGUUUUUUUAAAAAAAUUACCUUAUUAUAUAAGGGAAUGUAUCCAUACUCUGAACUGAAAAGAAAGGCAUCCCUGCUUCAUGUGGCUCUUUGUCAGCAUUGAAAACCUUAUUCAGCUGUUUAAUUCUCCAUUUACUUUUCCCUUUAGCCUGCUUCUGGUCCUUCCCACUUACCAGACACCAAUGUUGUUUCCCUUGCUUGUGCUUGUGUGUAUUCUGUUGAGAAUAAAAAUAAGGAGAAGCGGGGAUCAGCCCAGCAGCUUGGUAGUAGUUGGCACAUGUAGAAACAAUUAACUGUUGCUGCCGCACACUUGUAUGACCUGGGGAAAUCUUUAGGCUGUCUGUAGGUUAGAUUCCGACUGUUGAAGAGUGUUAAUAGUGUCUCUUCAGCAACAUGGUUGUGAGAAGAGAUGCUAGAAUCGUCAGGGUCAGUGAAGGGACUCUGCUCGUGAAAACUUCCAUGUGACACAGAACACUUGGUCAAUGGCACGUACUUGUCUUCCUAGGUUUUUAUUGCCAGGAUGUGUGGAUUAAACAAUGUGAUCAGCAUCUGCCAUGUAUAGUUCUUAUUAUUCUUUCAUCUUCCAAAGAAAGCGGAAAAAGGCUGGAAGUUGCUCUUGCAGUCAGCUGCGGGACAGACACUGACUCCAGCGGGGAAAGGAGAGGGCAGCGAAGCUCUUCGCUGCCGUUAAUACUCUUGGAGGGGGAGGGUGGCAGCUCUGAAGACGAGUGAAGGGAAAAAAAUUCUAACAGUACAAAUAGCCCACGGUAAGAAGGAUAAUACUUGGCUUGCCUUGCUGAUGAAGUGUAUAUAUCCUUCAUGGACUAUCCCUAGCAGACUUGGAGACUUCUUAGUUCAGUUAUUCUUUUACACAGUGUUUUUAUUACCAAAUUGGGGCUUCAUUCAAGUCCCCUGGAAACCCAUUAGAGAACUCUUAACUCGGCAGAACUGGAUGAGCUUUGAUAUAUGAAUUAUAUUAAGUAUUUCUAUCCAUCAAACUCUCCACCAGUUAAUGCAUCUUUUUAAGUUUCAAGCAAUCACAUGACGCUUCUCUAAACAUCAUUGCUGCUGACUUGAUCCAGAAAGAAUCAUGUUAACCAAAAUCCUUUUUAAGGCUUCCAUGCUGCUCAGGAUUUUGUCUCAGAUGUUUCUGCUUUUUCUGGGCACGCUCAGGAUGUUUGUUUCCAUUUCGUGUCGAGGUGGGGAUUUUCUGUUUGGUUUGGGAGUUGGUUUUUUGUUUGCUGAUCAGUUCUGACAAAUCUUGUCGUUCUUAAUAAUUUAAGUUCUAAAUAACUUUUAUGGCAUUUUCCUUUAAAAAAAAAAAAAAAGACUCCUCAUCUUGAA